AACCAUAGAAACCUGCGGAGUACCUGCGGAAGGAUCAUUACGAGAACUCGCUUCUUUGGGGCGACUCUCCCAACCCUUUGCUUAUGUUGCAUUGUUGCUUUGGCGGGCCACAAGAUUGCCUUGCGCUGGCCUUUGGGCGAGCGAGUGUCCGCCAGAGAAAAUAUCUACUCUGAUUUAUUAUUGUUGUCUGAGUUUAAAAGUGAUAAUCCAUUAAAACUUUUAACAACGGAUCUCAGAUCG
rnacentral:misc_RNA from 1 species